rnacentral:tRNA from 1 species
UAGCUGAGUUGGUAAAGAAUCUGCCUGCAAUGCAGGAGACCCUGGUUCGAUUCCUGG